rnacentral:rRNA from 1 species
CCGGCGACCGGCGCACGGGUGAGUAACACGUAUGCAACCUGCCCGUGGCAGGGGGAUAAGCGGGGGAAACCCCGUCUAAUACCGCGUAACGCGGCCUAGGGACAUCCCAAGGCCGCCAAAGGGAGCAAUCCCGGCCACGGAUGGGCAUGCGGCGCAUUAGCUAGUCGGCGGGGUAACGGCCCACCGAGGUGACGAUGCGUAGGGGUUCUGAGAGGAAGGCCCCCCACACUGGUACUGAGACACGGACCAGACUCCUACGGAAGGCAGCAG